rnacentral:rRNA from 1 species
UACUCGAGCGGCGAACGGGUGAGUAACACGUGAGUAAUCUGCCCCUGGCUUUGGGAUAGCCACCGGAAACGGUGAUUAAUACCGGAUACGACAACUUCUCGCAUGGGAUGGUUGUGGAAAGUUUUUCGGCCAGGGAUGUGCUCGCGGCCUAUCAGCUUGAUGGUGAGGUAAUGGCUCACCAUGGCUUCGACGGGUAGCCGGCCUGAGAGGGUGACCGGCCACACUGGGACUGAGACACGGCCCAGACUCCUACGGGAGGCAGCAGUGGGGAAUAUUGGACAAUGGGCGGAAGCCUGAUCCAGCAACGCCGCGUGAGGGAUGACGGCCUUCGGGUUGUAAACCUCUUUCAGCAGGGACGAAGCGCAAGUGACGGUACCUGCAGAAGAAGCACCGGCCAACUACGUGCCAGCAGCCGCGGUAAUACGUAGGGUGCGAGCGUUGUCCGGAAUUAUUGGGCGUAAAGGGCUCGUAGGCGGUUUGUCGCGUCGGGAGUGAAAACCAGGUGCUUAACACCUGGCUUGCUUUCGAUACGGGCAGACUAGAGGUAUUCAGGGGAGAACGGAAUUCCUGGUGUAGCGGUGAAAUGCGCAGAUAUCAGGAGGAACACCGGUGGCGAAGGCGGUUCUCUGGGAAUGACCUG